rnacentral:rRNA from 1 species
CAGUUCGGAUUGGGGUCUGCAACUCGACCCCAUGAAGUCGGAGUCGCUAGUAAUCGCAGAUCAGCAACGCUGCGGUGAAUACGUUCCCGGGCCUUGUACACACCGCCCGUCACGUCACGAAAGUCGGUAACACCCGAAGCCGGUGGCCCAACCCCUUGUGGGAGGGAGCCGUCGAAGGUGGGAUCGGCGAUUGGGACGAAGUCGUAACAAGGUAGCCGUACCGGAAGGUGCGGCUGGAUCACCUCCUUUCUAAGGAG